CUUCCCAGGUGUCCCUGCAGACUAAAAGAGAACCCACACUGAGGAAUAAAGCCACAGAGGGAUUCCAGGCAUGCAGAAGCACCUGCUUAGAAGGCUCUGCCCUGCUCCUUCCUGCUCUAACUCUUAAGUGUCUUGAAAAAAGAAAGACCUUACAGGCCAUCUAGCCAUGUUGACGAGCAUGGAGACCCUGAAUCUAAGGAGCUGAUAACAAUAAAGUGUUGCAUGGCCUGAAGAUAAACCUGGAGGGACCUUCAAGUUAGAAGAUGCAUCCUAACCUGCUGUGGAGAGACUAGUAAUUGUGGAGAAACUCGUCCAUAACAGAUGACAACACAUGCUCCAACAUCACCCGAGCAUUUAG
rnacentral:lncRNA from 1 species